rnacentral:rRNA from 1 species
UCAAAUUGAAAUCUGGCUCCUCUGGAGUCCGAGUUGUAAUUUGUAGAAGAUGCUUUGGGUUGUGGGUUCGGCCUAAGUUCCUUGGAACAGGACGUCAUAGAGGGUGAGAAUCCCGUAUGUGGCCGAGGCCCGCGCCUAUGUAAAGCUCUUUCAACGAGUCGAGUUGUUUGGGAAUGCAGCUCAAAAUGGGUGGUAAAUUUCAUCUAAAGCUAAAUAUGGGCCAGAGACCGAUAGCGCACAAGUAGAGUGAUCGAAAGAUGAAAAGCACUUUGGAAAGAGAGUUAAACAGUACGUGAAAUUGUUGAAAGGGAAGCGCUUGCACCCAGACUUGGGCGCUGCCGAUCACCUUGCGGUCUCCGCGAGUGCACUCGACAGCGCACAGGCCAGCAUCGGUUCGGGUGGCUGGAUAAAGGCCGUAGGAACGUAGCUCUCUUCGGGGAGUGUUAUAGCCUACGGUGCCAUGCAGCCCAGCCGGACCGAGGACCGCGCCUUCGGGCUAGGAUGCUGGCGUAAUGGGUGUAAGCGACCCGUCUUGAAACACGGACCAAGGAGUCUAACAUCUAUGCGAGUGUUUGGGUGGUAAACCCAUACGCGGAAUGAAAGUGAACGUAGGUGAGAACCCCUUUGGGGCGCAUCAUCGACCGAUCCUGAUGUCUUCGGAUGGAUUUGAGUAAGAGCAUAGCUGUUGGGACCCGAAAGAUGGUGAACUAUGCCUGAAUAGGGUGAAGCCAGAGGAAACUCUGGUGGAGGCUCGCAGCGGUUCUGACGUGCAAAUCGAUCGUCAAAUUUGGGCAUAGGGGCGAAAGACUAAUCGA